AGAGUUUGAUCCUGGCUCAGAGUGAACGUGGGCGGGCGUGCCUAGCACAUGCAAGUCGAACGAAAUCCGGGGGAGCUUGCUCCUCGGUGACAGUGGCGAACGGGUGAGUAACACGUGAGUAAUCUGCCCUUGAGUGGGGAAUAAUUCCGCGAAAGCGGAGCUAAUACCUCAUAAUACUCUGCAAUAUAAGUUGUCAGAGUCAAAGCCCUCGGGCGCUUAAGGAUGAGCUUGCGUCCUAUUAGCUAGUUGGUAGGGUAAUGGCCUACCAAGGCUGCGAUGGGUAGCCGGCCUGAGAGGGUGAUCGGCCACACUGGAACUGCGACACGGUCCAGACUCCUACGGGAGGCAGCAGUGGGGAAUUUUGCGCAAUGGGCGAAAGCCUGACGCAGCGACGCCGCGUGGAGGAAUAAGGCCUUCGGGUUGUAAACUCCUGUCAGAGGUGAAGAAUGUCCUUCGGGAUUUGACGGUAACCUCAGAGGAAGCCCCGGCUAACUACGUGCCAGCAGCCGCGGUAAUACGUAGGGGGCAAACGUUGCUCGGAAUUACUGGGCGUAAAGGGUGUGUAGGUGGCAGAACAAGUCAAGGAUGAAAUCCCGAGGCUUAACUUCGAAACUGUCCUUGAAACUGUUUUGCUUGAGGGUAGUUGAGGAAAACGGAAUUCCCGGUGGAGCGGUGAAAUGCGUAGAUAUCGGGAGGAACACCAGAGGCGAAGGCGGUUUUCUGAGCUAUUCCUGACACUGAGACACGAAAGCUAGGGGAGCGAACGGGAUUAGAUACCCCGGUAGUCCUAGCCGUAAACGAUGGGCACUAGAUGUUCCUACGGAUGUGGGAGUGUCGCAGUUAACGCAUUAAGUGCCCCGCCUGGGGAGUACGGUCGCAAGGCUAAAACUCAAAUGAAUUGACGG
rnacentral:rRNA from 1 species